rnacentral:tRNA from 1 species
UAUUGUUUGUAAUAAUCAUACAUUUAUAAAUCCUAAAUUUAUCACACUAAUCUGCCAAAACAAU